UACCUGCAGCUCAAGUGGUGACCACUAUUAUUGGGCCUAAAACGUUCGUAGCCGGUUUGGUAAAUGUCUGGGUAAAUCGUGUAGCUUAACUAUACGAAUUCCGGGUAGACUGCCAAACUUGAGACCGGGAGAAGCUAGAGGUACUCCUGGGGUAGAGGUGAAAUUCUGUAAUCCUGGGGGGACCACCAGUGGCGAAGGCGUCUAGCUAGAACGGGUUUGACGGUGAGGAACGAAGCCCUGGGGCGCAAACCGGAUUAGAUACCCGGGGUAGUCCAGGGUGUAAACGCUGCUUGCUUGAUGUUAGUUGGGCUCCGAGCCCAAUUAGUGUCGGAGAGAAGUUGUUAAGCAAGCUGCCUGGGAAGUACGAUCGCAAGAUUGAAACUUAAAGGAAUUGGCGGGGGAGCACAGCAACGGGUGGAGCGUGCGGUUU
rnacentral:rRNA from 1 species